UGCCAGCCGCCGCGGUAAUACGAAGGGGGCUAGCGUUAAUCGGAAUCACUGGGCGUAAAGCGCACGCAGGCGGCCUGUUAAGUCGGGUGUGAAAGCCCUCGGCUCAACCGAGGAAUUGCGUUUGAUACUACUUUGCUAGAGUCUCGGAGAGGUUGGCGGAAUUCCAGGUGUAGGAGUGAAAUCCGUAGAUAUCUGGAGGAACACCAGUGGCGAAGGCGGCCAACUGGACGAGUACUGACACUGAGGUACGAAAGCGUGGGUAGCAAACAGGAUUAGAUA
rnacentral:rRNA from 1 species